GCUAACCAUAACCCAACCCAAUUUGACCUAGGCAACCGUAAUUUUAACCUAGCUCAACCCGACUCAAAGUUGAUUUCGAGUUGUGCAGUUGGGCUGGGUUUGGAGCCCUACUUCUGACUUUCUGAGUUCUCAGGACCCUUCCAUAUAAAUCACGUUAAAAUUAAGGCACGGUGGGAGAAGCGGCGACUAGAGUUAGAGGGGAUUUCAAGUUUGAAGUUUGGAACCCUAAAUCCCUUUUGUUAGAUGAAGGAAAACUCAGAAGACUCACAUGUGGCUAGGGUGAAGAUGAAGCAAAUAAAGCCAAUUUCAAUCUUCGGAAUGGGAGGCAUUGGGAAAUGAUAAUUUCUUAUAAAUGUAGUGGAACGCCUCGCGUCACACCUCCGCGUUUUAAAACAUUGGUUCGAUGAUGCAGUGGCAGUCAUUUUGGGUAAAGAUCAACCAUCACAGGUUCAUUGCUUGGGCUUUGGGGUGAACCCAAAGCGUGCUUUCAGAACUAAGGGGUCACAAAACACAACUAAUAGCUGCCUUGUGCGAUUCAAGGAGAGGUGGGUGAUCUUCAAGCAAAAGCAGCACGAUUGGAGUGAUAUUGAUUUGUGAUGAUCUUCAACGCCUCUUUGACCAUUGGGAAACACCAAAUAGCAAGGCAAAGUGUGAAAUGAUGACCGAAAUGAGGACACUGCUCACCUCCAUGAAAUGAUGGAAGAAAGAUGGCAAAACAAUAUUCCCCCACCUUCACCUAGGAGAGAGAACCUAUUCAAGAGGGCCCAUACAAAUUCCCAGGGGGUGUUUUAUGACCCUCGAGCGAGGGAGCUUGUUGUAACUAUUUUUUUAUAUUUACCCAUUUAAUCAUUUUUUUAUAUUGUUGUAGGCAAGGAAUAAAGCAUAUGUGGAUACAGGCAUAAUAGGGCAUCUUGGUCGAGCCCAUACGUGCCCAUGAUGCAAUGGCGGUAAUUUUGGGUAAAGAUCAUCCACCACGGGUUCAUUGCUUGGGCUUCGAGGUGAACCCAAAGCGUGCUUUUGGAACUAAGAGGUCCAAAAAAUACCACCAAUAGUGCAACCGCCUUGUGCAAUUCAGAGCUACAGAAAGAAAACCAAAUGCUUCAAAGAGAGGUGGGUGAUCUUUAAGCAAAAGUGGCACGAUUGGAGUAAUAUUGAUCGUGAUGAUCUUCAUGCCUCUUUGACCAUUGGGAAACACCUGAGAGCAAGGCUAAGUGUGAAAUGAUGACCGAAGUGAGAACACUGCCCACCUCCGUGAAAUGACAGAAGAAGGAAGGCAAAGCAAUAUGCCCCCACCUUCACCUAGGAGAGAGGACCUAUUCAAGAGGGCCCAUACAAAUUCCCGGGGGAGUUUUAUGACCCUCGAGCGAGGGAGCUUGUUGCAAUGAUGAAAGCAUAUGUGGAUACAGGCAUAUUAGGGCAUCUAAGUCGAGCCCAUUGGUGCCCAUGAUGCAGUGGUGGUGAUUUUGGGUAAAAAUCAUCCAUCAUGGGUUCAUUGCUUGGGCUUCGAGGUGAACCCAAAGUGUGCUUUUGGAACUAAGGGGUCUAAAAACACCACCAAUAGUACAACUGCCUUGUGUGAUUCAGAGCUGCAGAAAGAAAACCAAAUGCUUCGAGGAGAGGUGGGUGAUCUUCAAGCAAAAGUAGCACAAUUGGAGUUUGUGGUGGAGCAGUUGGCACACUGUCAGGGAAUGGAUGCCUUGUUUCCCACUCCCCCUUCGGUUCAGUCUUAUAGAUUAUCAACAAGAGAAGUUAUGGAAGCGUUUCCACCCAUCCCAAGGCCCCAGAUGGCUAGGACCAACAUCGGGUUCCUAGGAGAAAGCACUCUAUGAAUGCGAUACCCAGACAUUUGGAGUCCAAGAUGCACAACUAGAUGGACACUAUGGCUGAAGUUGUGCUGCACCCUAGCUUCCAGUAGCCACGAUCAAAGUCUUGCUUGCAGAUAUUUACAAGCCAGAUGAUAGAUACUAUUGUAACUUAUAUACCUUGAAAACUGAAGAAUGAGAACCCAAUCCAUGAUCCUUUCGUAACCACCUCAAACUCUGGAAGGGGGGGGGGGUUCUUCUCCUGUCAUUCUUCUCAUAAUAAAGCCCAAAUUGGAAGGGAAAAUUAGAAAAACAUUUUUUUGUUUGAUAUAUAUAUAUAUAUUUGGUGAUUGGUAACUAAUAGGAGAGAUGAAAAUGGUGCUUGUAAUAGACCUUUAUCAUUAAUUUGUUGAAUGCUGAGCUGAAGGCGCCUGAAGACGGUACCAAAUUAGCUCAUCAUCUGUCAAAUAUGGAAAAGAACAACCUUCCAUGUUGCAGCUGUGAUUUCCUUGGAGCAUAUGUGAUUUCCAUGGCCUCUAAUGUAUGUGUUAACCAUUGGUGUCAAAUUUUUUGGUUUUGUGGCUGGGAGAAAAC